rnacentral:misc_RNA from 1 species
GGAAAUCUCAAGUGACAUUCAACUAAAAUAUAACUGCGGACCAUUUAAAUAUACAUUUUUACAUCAUCUGGACAAGGAGAUGUCUUAUAGCACAAUUUUGAAACAUGCACGACAAUGAGCUUGUAUUGAAACCAUCUCAUAUCAUGCAUUAGCACCAUUUAAGAUUAUCUAUUUAUAUAUAGCUACCAACACACGCUCUAGAUCCCUAAUUUCCAACCCGAAAUUAUUUUUUAAAAAAAAAAAUCUACUUUCAAUUCUACCACAAGUCAGAAAUUUACAAGAAUGUGAUGGAAGGAUUCCCAAUCAUUAGUGACCCUUCUCUUCCUCAUCGAAAUGUAGGCUCUCGAUUCCUUUCAGUGUGGAUUCAUAGUUCUUCACACCAGGGACAGAUGAAGCAUGUUUAGUAGGAUCUGAUGAUCCAACAAGAGGGGAGAUUCUCUGUCCACUUGAUAUUUUGUGCAUGGUCGCUGGACUAGCCUCAGGCGCUCGAGAACGUGUAGGAUCAGAGCCAUUUCCUACACUGGAAGUCUCACGGCUGCCAGACACUAGACCUCGCCGCAAUGAUCCACUUGAUCGUCCCAGGAAAGUAGAGCUUGGCAACAUAGCAUUCUUGCUGGUAGAAUCAUUUCUGAGAGGACUCUUCUGCUUGGACAAACUUCCUGCAUUUACAAGCGGCCCAGAAUAUCUCCUUCGAGAAGCAUCUGCUAGUUGUCUUCCUUCUUCCUCACCUGACGGCCUUUCUGCACUAGGGAUAACCGGGGGCAUGCCUGAGCUGGUUCCAGCACCAGUGCCAAGAGGUCGGGAAGGAGGAGCUGCGAUUUGCGAUUGCUGAUAUUUCAAUAUAGUCCAAUCAAAAACAUAGUCAAACUGAAAGCCUUCGCGGAUGAAGAGGUCACGAAAUAUUCUCUUCAGAUAAGCAUAAUCUGGUUUAUCCUCAAAGCGUAGUGAACGACAAAAAUGGAAAUAGGAUGCAAAUUCAGUAGGAUAACCCCGGCAUAAAGCCUCAAUAGAUGUUGACACCUUCUUUUCACUAAUUUUAUCAUAUUUCUGCUUCUUAGUACCAGCUUUCAAUCCCUGCCAUGGAAGACUUCCCCUAAGAAAAUACAUAAGCACAUAACCCAGAGAUUCCAGAUCAUCU